GGAAGGGAUAACCGCUGAAAGCAUCUAAGCGGGAAGCCUGCUCCAAGAUAAGCAUUCCGUGGAACCUUCGAGUUCCUGUAGUCCCCAUGCAGAACACGUGGUUGAUAGGCCGGACGUGGAAGCCCCGCGAGGGGUGGAGCCGACCGGUACUAACGGACGAAAGGCA
rnacentral:rRNA from 1 species